AAAAGUAAAUCAAAUUUUAUUAUAAGCCAUAUCAUGCUUGGCAAGUAGAUUACAAGCUGAAUAUAGAGCACAACAUAUUAUAAUCUAAUGCAAAGGUGCCCUGUGUAUAAGAUCAGUUCAAGGCUUCAAGCAUAGGCCUCUGGGUUUGCCACAAGAUACGCAUCCACUACCUUGAGGAGAGCCAAACCUUCUUCCUUUGCAGCCUUGAAAUCCUCCUCUUUGACAUCAACCCCUGCUUUGGGAUGAUAAGUGCUCACAUUCUUGGUCUUGCAACCUCCCUCCUCAGUGGCCUCGAACUUAAUCUCAUGUGAAAUUGAAUCCACUUU
rnacentral:lncRNA from 1 species